GGCAAAUCAUUUCAGCCUCCCAAAUCGCCUCCAUCUCUAUUCUCGUUCUCAACUCUGAACUUACCCUCUCUCUGUCUUUGCGACUGCAAACUGCAAACUGCAAACUGCAAAAUCUACAAGAAUCAGAUUAGCCUCCCAAAUGGCCUCCAUCUCUAUUCUCGUUCUCAACUCUGAACUUGCCCUCUCUCUGUCUCUGCAACUGCAAACUACAAAAUCUACAAGAAUCAGAACAUAUCGGCAUAUCAUUUCAGAUUGUUCAAAAUAUAAAAACCCAUAUCCUUCGGUUUCCAUCGCCCGCUGUUCCAGUUUGGGUUCGCCGUUCCCAAGCUUCAGCCUCUGGCCCGCUGUCUCUCAACUCUCAAGCCCUCUCUCUGCAACUGCUAACUCUGAAAUUUUUAGGGCAAAUCAUUUCAGCCUCCCCAAUCGCCUCCAUCUCUAUUCUCGUUCUCGACUUUGAACUUGCCCUCUCUCUCUAUCUCUGCAACUGCAAACUACAAAAAUCUACAAGAAUCUGAACCCAUAUCGCCAUAUCAUUUCAGAUUGUUAAAAAUAUCAAAACCCAUAUCCUUCAGUUUCCAUCGCCCGCUGUUCCAGUUUGGGUUCGCCGUUCGCAAGCUUCAUCCUCUGGCCCGCUGUCUCUCAACUUUCAAGCCCUCCCUCUGCAACUGCUAACUUGUAAUGAUUCACACCUGCCAUUACAUGGUUCUGCACAAAUUAUGAACCAUCUUAUUGAUGCUAUCCUGGUAAUAUCAGGCUCUUUGAUUUAGCAGAUUUGAUUUAAGUUCUAGCAAUCUGAUUGUAACACUGGUUACAGGAAAUGGUGUCAUUUCAACCCAAGUUCAUACACCUUUUGGCACUACAAUUUUCCAAAUAAUUUUCAUUUUGGUCCCAAUUAUCUUUCAGUUAACACUGGGAAUGGUAUCAUUAAAACUCACUCUAAGUUCAUUCUCCUUUUGGCACUAGAAUUAUCUACAUAAUGUGCAUUUUGGUCCGAGCUCUCUUUGAGGUACACGACAUAGUUUGACUGGUCGUUCUUUCUUUCUCUUUUUUUCAUUCCAUCUGAGGUGAUAUCUUCAUUUGGUAUUGGUUUAAAUGGUAUACUAAUUUUAUAAUUCCUGUUGUCUAAUUUGUAAUCACUAGAAUAAGCAUAAUUCACUAAGGAAUGCUUGUCUUUUCUUUUUUCUUUCGAUUUGUAUGGCUGUCACACAGCUUUGUUAUAGGAGUGCCAUGUAAACAUGUGCCGCUGGCAAUGUUAGUGAGGAUGAACGUAUAGCAGUGUUGUUCUAUCCAUUGAGAAAAAGAGAAAGAAAAGGUUAAUAAAAUGAGAAAACCCGUUCCAUGUUUA